UACGUAGGGUGCAAGCGUUGUCCGGAAUUAUUGGGCGUAAAGAGCUCGUAGGCGGUCUGUCGCGUCGGCUGUGAAAACUCGGGGCUCAACUCCGAGCUUGCAGUCGAUACGGGCAGGCUAGAGUUCGGCAGGGGAGACUGGAAUUCCUGGUGUAGCGGUGAAAUGCGCAGAUAUCAGGAGGAACACCGAUGGCGAAGGCAGCUCGCUGGGACGGUACUGACGCUGAGGCGCGAAAGCGUGGGGAGCAAACAGG
rnacentral:rRNA from 1 species